GGAAAAGCCCUGCACGUAACGGAUUUGUUUACGUGCAGCGAUCGAAGUAACGUGCCCUCUUACGGGUGUUUUGCGCAUGAAGUUAAGAUCAGAGCUGUCAGUACUGUCUUCCAUCGUGGUCAACUGCGGAUUGUCGAAGCUGAUUACAGUGUAAAUAGAUUCCCAAUGGACGCUACUGAACUUCACCAGCUGAUACUAAAGGAACUGGAAUGUCCUGUAUGUUACGAAUACAUGGAACCUCCCAUUACAAUUUGCGGGAACGGACAUAACAUCUGCUUCGCUUGCAAGCCGAACCUUCACCGGUGUCCGACUUGCAGAGAACGGUUUCUUCCUGUCCGCAACCUGUCACUGGAGAAAAUAUCGCGUCAUAUCGGCUUCCCUUGCUCCAA